CAUUGCGGAUCCGCGGCCGCAGAGUUUGAUCAUGGCUCAGAUUGAACGCUCGGUGGAUGCUUUACACAUGCAAGUCGAACGGCAGCACGAGAGCAGCUUGCUCUCUUGGUGGCGAGUGGCGGACGGGUGAGUAAUAUAUCGGAACGUGCCCAGUAGCGGGGGAUAACUACUCGAAAGAGUGGCUAAUACCGCAUACGCCCUACGGGGGAAAGGGGGGGAUUCUUCGGAACCUCUCACUAUUGGAGCGGCCGAUAUCGGAUUGCUAGUUGGUGGGGUAAAGGCUCACCAAGGCAACGAUCCGUAGCUGGUUUGAGAGGACGACCAGCCACACUGGGACUGAGACACGGCCCAGACUCCUACGGGAGGCAGCAGUGGGAAUUUUGGACAAUGGGGGAAACCCUGAUCCAGCCAUCCCGCGUGUAUGAUGAAGGCCUUCGGGUUGUAAAGUACUUUUGGCAGAGAAGAAAAGGUAUCUCCUAAUACGAGAUACUGCUGACGGUAUCUGCAGAAUAAGCACCGGCUAACUACGUGCCAGCAGCCGCGGUAAUACGUAGGGUGCAAGCGUUAAUCGGAAUUACUGGGCGUAAAGCGUGUGUUGGCGGUUCGGAAAGAAAGAUGUGAAAUCCCAGGGCUCAACCUUUGGAACU
rnacentral:rRNA from 1 species